rnacentral:rRNA from 1 species
ACUCCUACGGGAGGCAGCAGUAAGGAAUAUUGCNCAAUGGACGGAAGUCUGACGCAGCGACGCCGCGUGGGGGAUGAAGGUCUUCGGAUUGUAAACCCCUUUCGGGAGGGAAGAUGGAGUGGGUAACCACUUGGACGGUACCUCAAGAAGCAGCCACGGCCAACUUCGUGCCAGCAGCCGCGGUAAUACGAAGGUGGCAAGCGUUGUUCGGAUUCACUGGGCGUACAGGGUGUGUAGGCGGUUUGGUAAGCCUUCUGUUAAAGCUUCGGGCCCAACCCGGAGAGCGCAGAGGGUACUGCCAGGCUAGAGGGUGGGAGAGGAGCGCGGAAUUCCCG